rnacentral:lncRNA from 10 species
AACUUCAGCAAAAGCCAAAGCAGCCAACAAAGCCACAGCCCUAUCGGCUGUACUGGGCUCUGCCUUUUGGGCAGCUCGCCGGCCACUCCCCAAAAGCAGAGCAUUCCAUCCUUUCUCUUUUUAAACCCACGUCAUCAUCUGAUCAUAAUGGAAAUCAAUCUCCUCAAACCACCAUGCAAAGGCGUAUCCAUGGCAACCUCAAAAGGAAGGACACAGAGAUGAUGCUUCAGUGGCUGCAGCAGGAAAAGCUCUUCGCCUCUCGGUACCUUAAGUAUACCUGAGUAGCCAGUGGUCAACAUGGGUUUGCUGCUCUCCUCACUGCAAUAAAUGACGUCCAGCCCUGACUGAAAACUGCGCACCGACCGCAGCCGGGAUUACAUCAAUCAGGCACAAAGCUGGACACCUGGGACAGGAUAAGCGCACGCGCACUGUGCCUGGGAAGCCGAUUAGGACCAUAAGAAAUCGGCGUGUCGUGGCGAGCGCCCUCUUUCGGCGGAGGGGAGAAAGCGCAGAAGGGCUGGAGGACUUAUUUGCAAGUGUUAAACUGCUAAUUAAAACAAUAGCGAUAAACCAUAUCU